GAUCACCCGCUGAACUUAAGCAUAUCAAUAAGCGGAGGAAAAGAAACUAACAAGGAUUCCCCUAGUAACGGCGAGCGAAGCGGGAAGAGCUCAAAUUUGAAAGCUGGCGUCUUCGGCGUCCGCGUUGUAAUCUCGAGACGUGUUUUCCGUGCGGCUCUAUGGACAAGUCCCUUGGAACAGGGCAUCGUAGAGGGUGAAAAUCCCGUACUUGCCAUGGAAGUACCGUGCUUUGUGAUACACGCUCCAAGAGUCGAGUAGUUUGGGAUUGCUGCUCAAAGUGGGUGGUAGACUCCAUCUAAAGCUAAAUAUCGGGGAGAGACCGAUAGCGAACAAGUACCGUGAG
rnacentral:rRNA from 1 species